UACGAGGAGAGCGAGCGUUAUCCGUCAUGACUGGGCGUAAAGCGCCUUUUAGGUGGGACAAGGCUGUUACUGAUAAAAGACUGCAUGGAAAAUGUAGGAAUUUGGGAAAAACGCUUGGACUUGAGAUAAGAUCAGGUUUGUAGAAGGCCUUAAUGAGGGUUAAGAUCCAUCUAAUUAAGGAGGUAUGCCAUUCGGGUGAAGGCGGCAUUCUAGACUUAUCUGACGCUGAUUGGCGAAAGUAUGGGGAUCAAAGAGG
rnacentral:rRNA from 1 species